AUUGAACGCUGGCGGCAGGCCUAACACAUGCAAGUCGAGCGGAUGAAGAGAGCUUGCUCUCUGAUUUAGCGGCGGACGGGUGAGUAAUGCCUAGGAAUCUGCCUGGUAGUGGGGGAUAACGUUCCGAAAGGAACGCUAAUACCGCAUACGUCCUACGGGAGAAAGCAGGGGACCUUCGGGCCUUGCGCUAUCAGAUGAGCCUAGGUCGGAUUAGCUAGUUGGUGAGGUAAUGGCUCACCAAGGCGACGAUCCGUAACUGGUCUGAGAGGAUGAUCAGUCACACUGGAGCUGAGACACGGUCCAGACUCCUACGGGAGGCAGCAGUGGGGAAUAUUGGACAAUGGGCGAAAGCCUGAUCCAGCCAUGCCGCGUGUGUGAAGAAGGUCUUCGGAUUGUAAAGCACUUUAAGUUGGGAGGGAGGGCAGUAAGUUAAUACCUUGCUGUUUUGACGUUACCGACAGAAUAAGCACCGGCUAACUUCGUGCCAGCCGCCGCAGUAAAAC
rnacentral:rRNA from 1 species